rnacentral:rRNA from 1 species
GAUGAACGCUGGCGGCGUGCCUAAUACAUGCAAGUAGAACGCUGAAGCUUGGUGCUUGCACCGAGCGGAUGAGUUGCGAACGGGUGAGUAACGCGUAGGUAACCUGCCUCUUAGCGGGGGAUAACUAUUGGAAACGAUAGCUAAUACCGCAUAAAAGUCGAUAUCGCAUGAUAUUGAUUUGAAAGGUGCAAUUGCAUCACUAAGAGAUGGACCUGCGUUGUAUUAGCUAGUUGGUGAGGUAACGGCUCACCAAGGCAACGAUACAUAGCCGACCUGAGAGGGUGAUCGGCCACACUGGGACUGAGACACGGCCCAGACUCCUACGGGAGGCAGCAGUAGGGAAUCUUCGGCAAUGGGGGCAACCCUGACCGAGCAACGCCGCGUGAGGGAAGAAGGUUUUCGGAUCGUAAAGCUCUGUUGUAAGAGAAGAACGAGUGUGAGAGUGGAAAGUUCACACUGUGACGGUAACUUACCAGAAAGGGACGGCUAACUACGUG